rnacentral:rRNA from 1 species
GAUGAACGCUGGCGGCGUGCCUAAUACAUGCCAGUCGAGCGGACGGACGCGAAGCUUGCUUCUCUGAUGUUAGCGGCGGACGGGUGUGUAACACGUGGAUAACCUACCUAUAAGUCUGGGAUAACUUCGGGAAUCCGUAGCUUAUACCGGAUAAUAUUUUGAACCGCAUUGUUCAAAAGUGAGAGUCGGUGUUUCUGUCACUUCUAGCUGGUUCCGCGCUGCUUUAGCUAGUUGGUAAGGUAACGGCUUACCAAGGCAACGAUGCAUAGCCGACCUGAGAGGGUGAUCGGCCACACUGGAACUGAGACACGGUCCAGACUCCUACGGGAGGCAGCAGUAGGGAAUCUGCCGCAAUGGGCGAAAGCCUGACGGAGCAACGCCGCGUGAGUGAUGAAGGUCUUCGGAUCGUAAAACUCUGUUAUUAGGGAAGAACAUAUGUGUAAGUAACUGUGCACAUCUUGACGGUACCUAAUCAGAAAGCCACGGCUAACUACGUG